rnacentral:SRP_RNA from 1 species
UGGGAUCCUGUAGGCCGACCAUGAAACCCCGUCCCGCAGGACCGGGCUGGAGGCAGGCCUCCUUGAAGGAGGAGGCUGAGCCUCUUCGACCGCCGAACCGGGUCAGGCCGGGAACGGAGCAGCCCUAAGGCGGGCAGCCUGGUGUUUGCGGGGGUGCGGGGUCGAGGAGACCUACAGGACACCCG